AUCAAACAAUUAAUAACAGGAAUGAUAGUAAAACAUUUACAUCCGAUUCCAUUCUUUUUUAUUAUCAAAUAACAUAUAUUUUAGUACGAUAUUUACUCAUCGUAAGGAGAUAAUACUUAAGCUAUCAUAUAUAAUUAAAAUAAAUUAUAUAAUCAAUAUUGUAAAAUAAUUAUAAUAAUUUGUAGUCAUUAAUUAUUAGAUUAAGUUGUUAGUAUUAACUAAAUUAAGAUAGCACAUUUACACACGCACACACACAUAUUUCUCCAGUUAUAAGGAGGCCGGCCACUUCCAAUAAACACACAGUGUAUGUAUUGUUCCCGUUGCUUUUGGACAGAUGAUCACAAGCGAGUGUAAAAGACUACGCAGAGAUUCUGACAAAAGCACGGGAACCUAGAAAAGAACUUUAUAUUUUAAAAAAAAAUUAAUAAAUAAAAAACAAUUGUUACAUUAAAAAUCUUUUUAUUCACUACGGUCACCUUUGUCAAAUUCAACAUAUCAAUUUGCCGCCUGAAGAAGAAAGGUA